rnacentral:sRNA from 10 species
UUGUGUGUAGGAGGAAUUAGUUUAUUUCAGUGGAAACAAGGAAACACUUGAAAUAAAUUAAUUUUAAA